rnacentral:rRNA from 1 species
GUUGAUUACGUCCCUGCCCUUUGUACACACCGCCCGUCGCUACUACCGAUUGAAUGGUUUAGUGAGGUCCUCGGAUUGACCCCUCUGUGGUCGGCAACGGCCGCGGAGGCGCGUCGAAAAGACGAUCGAACUUGAUCAUUUAGWGGAAGUAAAAGCAAUCCCUCUCGCCUCGGCGAGCUUAAAGCAAAAAUGACGAAGACUCUCAACGGUGGAUCACUCGGCUCGCGGGUCGAUGAAGGACGCAGCUAAGUGCGUAAAAUAAUGUGAAUUGCAGAACAYAUAGAACAUCAAACCUCUGAAUGUAAAUUACAGUCUCGGGUUCACCCCGGGACUUCGUCUGGUUCAGUGUCGUUUAACAAGCCGUACGCCGCCCUAAGCAAGCGAGCGAAUCGUGGCGGGCCGGGGCGCGAGCCCCGCCCGUCCAAGGUGUCUGACUGAAGUAUCGUCCCCUCUGGGGGCCGCACUAUGUGGUACUCGUACUGUGAGGUGCGGGCCUUCGGGCCGGCUGGCGUCGCGAGAUGCAACCAUCAAACCUAUCACGUUUUGACCUGAACUCAGGCGGGGCAACCCGCUGAAUUUAAGCAUAUUAAUAAGCGGAGGAAGAGAAAGCAACUGCGAUUCCCUUAGUAACGGCGAGUGAAUCGGGAUCAGUCYAGCGCUGAAUCUGCGCGUCCCCGUGGCGCGUCGAAAWGUAGCGUAUAGGUUUCCCUUUGCUCGCGUCGGAGCGCCCCUUAGUUCUUCUGAUAAAGGCUUCGCCCAGAGAUGGUGUCAGGCCAAUGUUGGGGCGACCGGCGCGGUCUUCGGGUUYCCUCGGAGUCGGGUUGUUUGAGAAUGCAGCCUAAAGCGGGUGGUAAACUCCACCUAAGACUAAAUAUCACCGCGAGACCGAUAGCGRACAAGUA